UCACGGACCAGACAAAAACGAAAGUUGAUUUUGUUUGCGGUCAUAUUUUCUUCGAGAGGGUUUUUUCUGUCAUAAUGCGAGUGAUCUGCAUUGUGUGAGAGUGAGCAGAUGAUGGAAUCAAAAAAUGAAGCCCAGCAUUCGGUGGAAUGUGACCUGUGUCAGCAACCAGUCUCGUUUUUCUGCAGACGGUGCGGGGUCAAUCUCUGUGACCCCUGUGUCACCAUACAUCUACGCGUGAAAUCUAAGAACGGCCAUGACAUUGUAGAUUACACCAGCAAGGAUGAUGACGACACAUGCCACUGUGAUUCCCAUCCCCAAAACGAUUGUUCUGCGUACUGCAAAACUUGUGAUGCUCCGAUAUGCAUCCUUUGCGUUUCUAUCAAACACAGAUCGCACGAGAUGUCCGAGUUGUCCGAUAAAAUUGAAGAACUUUUAAAAGUUAUCGCAAAAGAAAAUGAUCGAAUUCAGUCAUCCAAAAAUGAAUUAGAAAAAAUUCUUGAACACACGACGAAUAUGUUGUCCUCAAUAUCAUCGUUUUACAAACAGCGGAAAGAUGAAGUUACAGCACAUGGAGAAAAGUGGCACAAACUGAUCGAGGAGACCGUGAAGAAACUUCACCAGGAACUGGAUGACAUGCAAAAGGAACACGAGGCUGUACUACAGAAACAAAAGAAAGAGUUUGAGAAAAUGAUUGGAAAAGUAAAUGAAAUGAACGGGAAAACAAUGAAAUUACAGAAAUCAAAAAACGUCAAAGAAAUGCAGACUUUUGUACCAGUGAUUCAGAAUCGGAAGAAUUUAAAUGAGGUCUCUCAGUAUUCGUUUCCGACAUUUUAUGAAUGCAAAAUAGAUCCAAAUUAUUUACAAACUUAUUUCGGAUACGUUGAAAAAAUGCAGGUAAAAAAAACUGCGCUUUUGGAAAAUGAAUUCAAAGACAAUGAUUUACCGGGUAGAAGAAUAUUAGAGGUACCAACAGUCACUUCUGUUAUAGACACUGGGUUCCCUGCUAAUAAAAAUCAUUUUAGUCGUCUGUAUGACAUGGCCAUUACCGUCGAUAACAAAGUGUGGAUGGGAGGAGCAAGCUAAGAACUGAAGUUGUUUGAUCUCCAGGGACACCUCCACCACACCGUCAACAUUACUACCGAAGUGAUGUACAUAUGUAUGUACAACAAACAAGUAGUGUACAGUGAACCGCUGAAUAAAGCCGUGAAAAUAAUAUCUGACACCGACACUGCGGUGACGAUGUUCACUACCGGGGACUGGGAGCCACGUGGCGUCACAAGCGCCGCGUCCGGUGAUCUACUGGUCUGUCUCCGUAAAGACGAUCAGAACAAAGUCGUCCGAUACAGCAGUACCGGUACCGUGCUCCAGGAAAUCCAGUACGACUCGCAGUGUCAACCUCUGUACAAAUACGCGACUUACAUCACUGAGAAUGUCAACAAAGACAUCAUUGUAACUGACUGGGAGAAAAAGGCCGUCAUUGCUGUCGAUAAAUUUGGCAUAUUCCGGUACUCGUACUCAGAGAAGGACAGUCAAUUUAAGCCUUCUUCAGUCGCCACUGAUUCUGUCGGUCACGUCAUCGUUACAGAAAAUCCACGAAACAAGAUUCACAUGUUGGACAGAGACGGACGAUUCCUGAGGUACAUCAUUCCUGAAGGAGGAAUAAAAAAUCCACGCGGCGUGUUUAUCCUUGGUGACGGUGAGAUGAUGGUGGGAGAGUGUAAGACCGGAAUCGCCAAAAGAAUCAAAUACUUGGAUGAAUGAGGACACAUCCGUGUUGUUUCUCACUCUGUUGCGAUAACAGUAAUGGGUAUUUGACAUUUAUGACUUUGACUUUUACUGUUUGUACAACUAUACUGUAUAUGUCUAGUAUCCAUAAACAAUGGAGUAUAAGACUAAACUCAUCCUAUAUUGAGACUGUAAAGCGAAAACCAACCAACCAAAAAAAAAAAACCAACCUAAUGCCACAAAGCCGCUUAAUAAAUGAUAAAAUUUAUGCAUCAUUAGAUGUUGCGAUGUACAAAAUAUUAAGAUUACACAAAAUAAAACAAUUGAAUAAU
rnacentral:misc_RNA from 1 species